rnacentral:misc_RNA from 1 species
GAUGAAGAACGCAGCGAAAUGCGAUAAGUAAUGUGAAUUGCAGAAUUCAGUGAAUCAUCGAAUUUUUGAACGCACAUUGCGCCCGCCAGUAUUCUGGCGGGCAUGCCUGUUCGAGCGUCAUUUCAACCAUCAAGCCCCCGGCUUGUGUUGGGGACCUGCGGCUGCCGCAGGCCCUGAAAACCAGUGGCGGGCUCGCUAGUCACUCCGAGCGUAGUAAUACAUCUCGCUCAGGGCGUGCUGCGGGUUCCGGCCGUUAAAAAGCCUUAUUUACCCAAGGUUGACCUCGGAUCAGGUAGGAAGACCCGCUGAACUUAAGCAUAUCAAUAAGCGGAGGA